UCCCUAGAGGGCUAGUAGUUAGGCCUUGGUGCUCUCACCACUGUGGCCCAGGUUCGAUUCCCGGACGGGGAA